AUCCGAACUUUGACCGAAAUUGCUAUAACAAUACCGAACUUUGAAAAGGACAUUUUACCCCUGCACUAUUUAAUAGUGUAUUUUAAAGGUAUAUAAAUAGUAGUGUGUCCAUGUGGGCACAUAUAUACCUUUAAAAUACACUAUUAAAUAGUGCAGGGGUAAAAUGUCCUUUUCAAAGUUCGGUAUUGUUAUAGCAAUUUCGGUCAAAGUUCGGAUAU